rnacentral:rRNA from 1 species
GACAGAGGCCUCGAGCGUUAGGCGGAAUCACUGGGCUUAAAGCGUGUGUAGGCGGGCCCGUAAGUACCUUGUGAAAUCCCACGGCUCAACCGUGGAACGGCUGGGUAUACUGCGGGUCUUGGGCCAACUAGGGGCAGCCGGAACAAGCGGUGGAGCGGUGAAAUGCGUAGAUAUCGAGAGGAACACCGGUGGCGAAGGCGGCCUUCUGGACAGUGACUGACGCUGAGACGCGAAAGCGUGGGGAGCAAACAGG